CAGCAGCCGCGGGAAUACGAAGGUCCCGAGCGUUGUUCGGAAUCACUGGGCGUAAAGGGAGCGUAGGCGGCGUGGUAAGUCAGAUGUGAAAUCCCGGGGCUCAACCCCGGAACUGCAUCCGAUACUGCCAUGCUAGAGGAUUGGAGAGGUAGCUGGAAUUCUUGGUGUAGCAGUGAAAUGCGUGGAGAUCAAGAGGAACACUCGUGGCGAAAGCGAGCUACUGGACAAUAACUGGCGCUGAGGCUCGAAGGCCAGGGUAGCGAAAGGGAUUAGAUACCCCUGUAGUCCCUGUCUCUUAUAC
rnacentral:rRNA from 1 species